rnacentral:rRNA from 1 species
ACCCGAAACCCGGUGAUCUAGCCAUGGGCAGGUUGAAGGUUGGGUAACACUAACUGGAGGACCGAACCGACUAAUGUUGAAAAAUUAGCGGAUGACUUGUGGCUGGGGGGGAAAGGCCAAUCAAACCGGGAGAUAGCUGGUUCUCCCCGAAAGCUAUUUAGGUAGCGCCUCGUGAAUUCAUCUCCGGGGGUAGAGCACUGUUUCGGCAAGGGGGUCAUCCCGACUUACCAACCCGAUGCAAACUGCGAAUACCGGAGAAUGUUAUCACGGGAGACACACGGCGGGUGCUAACGUCCGUCGUGAAGAGGGAAACAACCCAGACCGCCAGCUAAGGUCCCAAAGUCAUGGUUAAGUGGGAAACGAUGUGGGAAGGCCCAGACAGCCAGGAUGUUGGCUUAGAAGCAGCCAUCAUUUAAAGAAAGCGUAAUAGCUCACUGGUCGAGUCGGCCUGCGCGGAAGAUGUAACGGGGCUAAACCAUGCACCGAAGCUGCGGCAGCGACGCUUAUGCGUUGUUGGGUAGGGGAGCGUUCUGUAAGCCUGCGAAGGUGUGCUGUGAGGCAUGCUGGAGGUAUCAGAAGUGCGAAUGCUGACAUAAGUAACGAUAAAGCGGGUGAAAAGCCCGCUCGCCGGAAGACCAAGGGUUCCUGUCCAACGUUAAUCGGGGCAGGGUGAGUCGACCCCUAAGGCGAGGCCGAAAGGCGUAGUCGAUGGGAAACAGGUUAAUAUUCCUGUACUUGGUGUUACUGCGAAGGGGGGACGGAGAAGGCUAUGUUGGCCGGGCGACGGUUGUCCCGGUUUAAGCGUGUAGGCUGGUUUUCCAGGCAAAUCCGGAAAAUCAAGGCUGAGGCGUGAUGACGAGGCACUACGGUGCUGAAGCAACAAAUGCCCUGCUUCCAGGAAAAGCCUCUAAGCAUCAGGUAACAUCAAAUCGUACCCCAAACCGACACAGGUGGUCAGGUAGAGAAUACCAAGGCGCUUGAGAGAACUCGGGUGAAGGAACUAGGCAAAAUGGUGCCGUAACUUCGGGAGAAGGCACGCUGAUAUGUAGGUGAAGCGACUUGCUCGUGGAGCUGAAAUCAGUCGAAGAUACGAGCUGGCUGCAACUGUUUAUUAAAAACACAGCACUGUGCAAACACGAAAGUGGACGUAUACGGUGUGACGCCUGCCCGGUGCCGGAAGGUUAAUUGAUGGGGUCAGCGCAAGCGAAGCUCUUGAUCGAAGCCCCGGUAAACGGCGGCCGUAACUAUAACGGUCCUAAGGUAGCGAAAUUCCUUGUCGGGUAAGUUCCGACCUGCACGAAUGGCGUAAUGAUGGCCAGGCUGUCUCCACCCGAGACUCAGUGAAAUUGAACUCGCUGUGAAGAUGCAGUGUACCCGCGGCAAGACGGAAAGACCCCGUGAACCUUUACUAUAGCUUGACACUGAACAUUGAGCCUUGAUGUGUAGGAUAGGUGGGAGGCUUUGAAGUGUGGACGCCAGUCUGCAUGGAGCCGACCUUGAAAUACCACCCUUUAAUGUUUAUGUUCUAACGUGGACCCGUAAUCCGGGUUGCGGACAGUGUCUGGUGGGUAGUUUGACUGGGGCGGUCUCCUCCUAAAGAGUAACGGAGGAGCACGAAGGUUGGCUAAUCCUGGUCGGACAUCAGGAGGUUAGUGCAAUGGCAUAAGCCAGCUUGACUGCGAGCGUGACGGCGCGAGCAGGUGCGAAAGCAGGUCAUAGUGAUCCGGUGGUUCUGAAUGGAAGGGCCAUCGCUCAACGGAUAAAAGGUACUCCGGGGAUAACAGGCUGAUACCGCCCAAGAGUUCAUAUCGACGGCGGUGUUUGGCACCUCGAUGUCGGCUCAUCACAUCCUGGGGCUGAAGUAGGUCCCAAGGGUAUGGCUGUUCGCCAUUUAAAGUGGUACGCGAGCUGGGUUUAGAACGUCGUGAGACAGUUCGGUCCCUAUCUGCCGUGGGCGCUGGAGAAUUGAGGGGGGCUGCUCCUAGUACGAGAGGACCGGAGUGGACGCAUCACUGGUGUUCGGGUUGUCAUGCCAAUGGCACUGCCCGGUAGCUAAAUGCGGAAGAGAUAAGUGCUGAAAGCAUCUAAGCACGAAACUUGCCCCGAGAUGAGUUCUCCCUGACUCCUUGA